rnacentral:rRNA from 1 species
CCCAUCAGCUAGUUGGCGGGGUAAUGGCCCACCAAGGCUACGACGGGUAGCUGGUCUGAGAGGAUGAUCAGCCACACUGGAACUGAGACACGGUCCAGACUCCUACGGGAGGCAGCAGUGGGGAAUCUUGCGCAAUGGGCGAAAGCCUGACGCAGCAACGCCGCGUGUGUGAUGAAGGUCUUCGGAUCGUAAAGCACUGUCGCGAGGGACGAUACGCUACACGAUAACACCGUGGAGCUGAGACGGUACCUCGAGAGGAAGCACCGGCUAACUCUGUGCCAGCAGCCGCGGUAAUACAGAGGGUGCGAGCGUUGUUCGGAAUUAUUGGGCGUAAAGCGCUUGUAGGCGGCCUGUUAAGUCUCAUGUGAAAGCCCUCGGCUCAACCGAGGAAGUGCAUGAGAUACUGGGAGGCUUGAAUGCCGGAGAGGGUCGCGGAAUUCCCGGUGUA